UACGAAGGGGGCUAGCGUUGCUCGGAAUUACUGGGCGUAAAGCGCACGUAGGCGGAUUGUUAAGUCGGGGGUGAAAUCCUGGAGCUCAACUCCAGAACUGCCUUCGAUACUGGCGAUCUCGAGUCCGGGAGAGGUGAGUGGAACUGCGAGUGUAGAGGUGAAAUUCGUAGAUAUCAGGAGGAACACCUGUGGCGAAAGCGGCGCACUGGACCACAACUGACGCUGAGGCGCGAAAGCUAGGGGAGCAAACAGG
rnacentral:rRNA from 1 species